CCUUUUGAUUGGAAGAAAUAAAACCACAUUCUAUUGGUUAUUAGUUGUGAGGACAUAACUGCAACGGAAGACACAACUGCAACGCUACAUACGUCAUCAUUUGUCUUCUAUUGUUAAGAAUGUCAAGACCUUCAGGAAGAAAUCUUCUGAAUCGACGGAAAUAAAACUGGCAAUUGUUAUCAACUACCGUGGAGUGGAAAAUGUCGGAAGACUUAUGGACGUUGUGACGAGUGCUAUGAUGCUCAGAACAUUGUAACUUGUGGGGACGAACUCGAGAAAGGACACUGCGGUGACACUGAAGUGGCUCAUGUCUGUAGCCAAACAUGUAAUGCGCUCUCCUGUGCUCAGGAAGCAAUCAAGGACCAGUUACCUGAUGCAAAGUGACUAAAAUGAAGAGUUGAUCGCAUUAAAGACCUCUAUUAAUUCAA